AUACUUAUCCAGCAAGGGAAAUAUCCUGGUCAUGCAGCUGGUUUUUCCAGGGUUAGGCUUAUUGAUUGUAUUCUCUAUGUGCUGCGGAUCUCUGUGAUUUCCCCAAAUGUGGAAAACUCAACCAUAUAAUUUGUGGUAGUGAAGGACUGGAUACACAUUCUCCCA